CCUACGGGUGGCAGCAGUGGGGAAUAUUGCACAAUGGGGGAAACUCUGAUGCAGCGACGCCGCGUGCGUGAAGAAGUAUUUCGUUAUGUAAAGCUCUAUCAGCAGGGAAGAAAAUGACGGUACCUGAGUAAGACGCACCGGCUAACUCCGUGCCAGCAGCCGCGGUAAUACGUAGGGGGCAAGCGUUAUCCGGAUUUACGGGGUGUAAAGGGAGUGUAGACGGCUGUGCAAGUCUGGAGUGAAAGGCGGGGGCUCAACCCCCGGACUGCGCUGGAAACUGGACGGCUGGAGUGCAGGAGAGGUAAGUGGAAUUCCUAGGGUAGCGGUGAAAUGCGUAGAUAUUAGGAGGAACACCAGUGGCGAAGGCGGCUUACUGGACUGUAACUGACGUUGAGGCUCGAAAGCGUGGGGAGCAAACAGGAUUAGAUACCCGUGUAGUC
rnacentral:rRNA from 1 species